rnacentral:lncRNA from 1 species
AAGUAAUCCGUCUUAUUUUAUCCUCCAUGGCUUUUUUAUUGUUUGCUGUUUCUUGCAGAAGCUGACGCAUUUCUUCUUCAACAUAGUAAACUUUUUCAUUUGCUGCUUCAACUUGUUUUUCCUUCUCAUUUGCCAGCUGCACUAUUUCAGCCUCAUGAGCUGCCAAUACUGACUCAAGUUGUUUUCUAAAAGCAUCAUCCAUUUCACGAAGCUUCUCCGUAGCGAUCCUCUGAGCUUGAAGACUUUUAUUUCUCUCUUCAAUCAGCUUCUUCUCCUUCAUAUCAAAGCCCUCCUU